UAGGUCGGAUUAGCUAGUUGGUGGGGUAAUGGCUCACCAAGGCGACGAUCCGUAACUGGUCUGAGAGGAUGAUCAGUCACACUGGAACUGAGACACGGUCCAGACUCCUACGGGAGGCAGCAGUGGGGAAUAUUGGACAAUGGGCGAAAGCCUGAUCCAGCCAUGCCGCGUGUGUGAAGAAGGUCUUCGGAUUGUAAAGCACUUUAAGUUGGGAGGAAGGGUUGUAGAUUAAUACUCUGCAAUUUUGACGUUACCGACAGAAUAA
rnacentral:rRNA from 1 species